CCUACGGGAGGCAGCAGUGAGGAAUAUUGGUCAAUGGCCGGAAGCCUGAACCAGCCAAGUCGCGUGAAGGAUGAAGGUACUAUGUUUCGUAAACUUCUUUUAUCUGGGAAUAAAGUGAGGGACGUGUUCCUUUUUGUAUGUACCAUAUGAAUAAGCAUCGGCUAACUCCGUGCCAGCAGCCGCGGUAAUACGGAGGAUGCGAGCGUUAUCCGGAUUUAUUGGGUUUAAAGGGUGCGUAGGUGGGUAAUUAAGUCAGCGGUGAAAGUUUGGGGCUCAACCCUAAAAUAGCCGUUGAAACUGGCUGACUGGAGUAUAUGUGAGGUAGGCGGAAUGCGUGGUGUAGCGGUGAAAUGCAUAGAUAUCACGCAGAACUCCGAUUGCGAAGGCAGCGUACUAAACCAUAACUGACACUGAAGCACGAAAGCGUGGGGAUCAAACAGGAUUAGAUACCCGAGUAGUC
rnacentral:rRNA from 1 species